CCUACGGGGGACAGCAGUGGGGAAUAUUGCACAAUGGGGGAAACCCUGAUGCAGCGACGCCGCGUGAGUGAAGAAGUAUCUCGGUAUGUAAAGCUCUAUCAGCAGGGAAGUAGAAAGACGGUACCUGACUAAGAAGCCCCGGCUAAAUACGUGCAAGCAGCCGCGGUAAUACGCAGGGGGCAAGCUGUAUCCGGAUUGCCGGGGUGUAAAGGGAGCGUAGACGGCUGUGCAAGUCUGAAGUGAAAGCCCAGGGCUCAACCCUGGGACUGCUUUUGAAACUGGGGAGCUAGAGUGCUGGAGAGGUAAGUGGAAUUCCUAGUGUAGCGGUGAAAUGCGUAGAUAUUAGGAAGAACACCGGUGGCGAAGGCGGCUUACUAGACAGUAACUGACGUUGAUGCUCGAAAGCGUGGGGAGCAAACAGGAUUAGAUACCCCUGUAGUC
rnacentral:rRNA from 1 species